UAUAAUAAAAACAAUUAUAGCUCUUUCUACGCAAGUAGUAGUAUUAACACUUAUCCAAAUGAAAUUGGGGAAAAGACGAAAAACAUGAAAGAGAAAAUUACAUGCAGGACAAUAAAGUGUCCGUGUCAGAUGGUAAGAAGGCCUGGUUUAAGCAACAUCAAGCGCGGGGUCCAGAAAGAAAAAAGACAUUACGUUAGAAUCGGAACAUGCCACCACCGAGUGGUUCGGUUCGGUUCUAUCCGGUCCGGUCCAAAAAGCGUUCGUUCCCUUCAUGGCUUUGCAACUUUCAACACUUCCCGACUUCACUUUAGCUAA